GUGCUAAUAGGGAAAGCGGCAGCUAUAUAUAAAAUACCUAUGGCAAUGGUGGGAAAAUUAAGUAUUCAUCUGUAUAUUUCCAUUUUUCCGAGGAGGUAUUUGUUUUAACUGUAUAUUAUGUUGCGCUUGGGGGUGGCUUCUUUCUUUAAGUGGCAGCGCUUGAAGUACUAGUGAUUUGUCGAUAUACUAUUUUGUAUUUUUAAGAUUUUUUUGUGGAACAAAAAUGAAAAAAAAACUUAGAGCUCGGGAAAUAAUAUCAAUGCAUCCUGAGGCCGCUGGAGGUGCUGCUGUAAAGACCAAGCUUUCAAAGGGCUGACCCGAUGCGCAAUAAUUUCGUUUAAUUGAUGUAGGAAUAAAUAUUUAGUCCGUACGAAAAAUCAUCAGCAGCAAUCUGCCGAGAUCAGUCUUUUAAUUUAUUUAACCUUAAAAGGAAACCCCAAAUGCAUUGGUUUGUAUACAAUGAGUAUAAAAUACGAUAGAAUUAAUAGAAAUCGAAUUGAACAGGUUCGCUGUGGUCAAUGGUGCUGCUGAUUCCAUUGGAAUCGGUGACGACGCAUCGUGUUCUUUUCUGAUAAAAGUCGUCAGUUGCAGUGUGAAAAUUAAACAUGUGAUUUCCGGACGUAGUCAGCCAUGCAAUGGAAUGACGUAGUCAGCCAUGCAAUGGAAUGACGUAAAUCGCAAGCCAUGGGGAACUCAGGCUGCUUUAUAACGAGAACGCUGCUUGUAAUAGACGUCCUCGAAAGGCAUCAUGGGCGUCGUUUGAAAAGCAGCCAAUAAUGAAUGGAUGGCACUUCCGGUUAUCAAAACUGCUGGACCAAGGUAAUAUGUCGGAUAGUGACUCCAUGGCCAUUCCUCAUAAAACGGAAAGUUAAGGGUAUCGCACCUCUGUUAGGAGAGAGAUAUUCAGAUGGCAAACCAAACAUACUCGGAUUUGAUUGAUGAUGCGACUGCUGGACGAAAUGAGCUAGAUUACGUACAUUGACAUAGACGUCGUCGUCUAUCUUGAAAAUGAAACCGACUUUGUUGCAGUUUCUGUACAGCCAGUUGAAGAUACCGGCAACUUUCAGCGACAAAUUUCUGUAGAAAUCAGACACUCCAAUCUGAAUGAGGUCGCCAUACAUCUUGCUCUCUUCCUCGAUUUGAGCUUGCAUCACAUCAUUCGUCGUCAAUCCCAACAUGAAACCAAAGCCGACAAUACCCAACAAACCUUUUUCAUACUCAGCUUUUAAAUGAAUUUUCCAUGUUUGUCGAAUGAUUUUUCGCUUUUCGAAAUUGCCAGGGGCUGACACGACCGCUACGAAAACCUUUUGAUCGACUGUAAUAACGUCCAGACGACACGGGCCGAUGGUUAUGGGGUAUCGGAAAGAAAGGACGUCGUUGAUCACCGAACCGAAUUCCGGUUUCAAUGGUUCCACAUUAAUCAAAGGCAACAGUCCUAAGCGAGCCACUGCAUAUCGCGAAUAAUUUUCUUCUCCGGGAUAAGUAUUGCGCAAAACAAGAGAAGCGUACUUGAAAAACUCUUGAUUCACCGUUAUU